rnacentral:lncRNA from 1 species
CUCGGUGAGUUGCUGCCGUGAUGCAAGAAGCCAUUUCAAAUGCAUAAGUGAUCAGCAUCAGAAUAAUAUACACCAGUAGCAAAGUCUUGCUGGACUUCAUGACUCCAACGAUGCCGAGGAUAGACAGAGCAAGGAGUGCAAAGCCAACAAAGAUACCUAUCCAGGCCGCAGCAUAGAUGUCAUUGUUUUCUGUGGCUUCCAGCAAUGGGUAGAGACCGUGGGGAUCCG